AGUGAACGCUGGCGUUAGGCCUAACACAUGCAAGUCGAACGGCAGCACAGUAAGAGCUUGCUCUUACGGGUGGCGAGUGGCGGACGGGUGAGGAAUACAUCGGAAUCUACUUUUUCGUGGGGGAUAACGUAGGGAAACUUACGCUAAUACCGCAUACGACCUACGGGUGAAAGCAGGGGAUCUUCGGACCUUGCGCGAUUGAAUGAGCCGAUGUCGGAUUAGCUAGUUGGCGGGGUAAAGGCCCACCAAGGCGACGAUCCGUAGCUGGUCUGAGAGGAUGAUCAGCCACACUGGAACUGAGACACGGUCCAGACUCCUACGGGAGGCAGCAGUGGGGAAUAUUGGACAAUGGGCGCAAGCCUGAUCCAGCCAUACCGCGUGGGUGAAGAAGGCCUUCGGGUUGUAAAGCCCUUUUGUUGGGAAAGAAAAGCAGCAGGUUAAUACCCCGCUGUUCCGACGGUACCCAAAGAAUAAGCACCGGCUAACUUCGU
rnacentral:rRNA from 1 species